UAACAAGGAUUCCCCUAGUAACUGCGAGUGAAGCGGGAAGAGCCCAAAUUUAAAAUCUGGCGGUCUCCGGCCGUCCGAGUUGUAAUCUGGAGAAGUGUUAUCCGUGCCGGACCGUGUACAAGUCCCUUGGAAGAGGGCAUCUUAGAGGGUGAAAAUCCCGUCUACGACACGGACUCCCGGUGCUUUUGCGAUGCGCUCUCGAUGAGUCGAGUUGUUUGGGAAUGCAGCUCUAAAUGGGUGGUGAACUCCAUCUAAGGCUAAAUAUAGGCGAGAGACCGAUAGCGAACAAGUACCGUGAGGGAAAGAUGAAAAGAACUUUGGAAAGAGAGUUAAACAGUACGUGAAAUUGCUGAAAGGGAAACGCUUGAAGUCAGUCGCGUCGUCCGGGAUUCAGCCUCGCUUCGGCGUGGUUUACUUCCCGGUUGACGGGUCAGCAUCGAUUUUGGUCGUCGGAAAAAGGUGGGGGGAAUGUGGCACCUUCGGGUGUGUUAUAGCCCCUUGUCAGAUGACGGCGACCGGGAUCGAGGAUCGCGGCGCAGC
rnacentral:rRNA from 1 species